rnacentral:rRNA from 1 species
AUGCAAGUCGAGCGGGGGAAGGUAGCUUGCUACCGGACCUAGCGGCGGACGGGUGAGUAAUGCUUAGGAAUCUGCCUAUUAGUGGGGGACAACAUCUCGAAAGGGAUGCUAAUACCGCAUACGUCCUACGGGAGAAAGCAGGGGAUCUUCGGACCUUGCGCUAAUAGAUGAGCCUAAGUCGGAUUAGCUAGUUGGUGGGGUAAAGGCCUACCAAGGCGACGAUCUGUAGCGGGUCUGAGAGGAUGAUCCGCCACACUGGGACUGAGACACGGCCCAGACUCCUACGGGAGGCAGCAGUGGGGAAUAUUGGACAAUGGGGGGAACCCUGAUCCAGCCAUGCCGCGUGUGUGAAGA